rnacentral:rRNA from 1 species
UACGUAGGUGGCGAGCGUUGUCCGGAUUUAUUGGGUUUAAAGGGCGCGUAGGCGGCCUUGUCAGUCAGGCGUGAAAGCCCCGGGCUCAACCUGGGAACGGCGCUUGGGACGGCGAGGCUGGAGUUCGGGAGAGGAGAGUGGAAUUCCCAGUGUAGAGGUGAAAUUCGUAGAUAUUGGGAAGAACACCGGUGGCGAAGGCGGCUCUCUGGACCGACACUGACGCUGAGGCGCGAAAGCGUGGGGAGCAAACAGG